rnacentral:misc_RNA from 1 species
UCUCCGUAGGUGAACCUGCGGAAAGAUCAUUACAGAGUUGAGACUCCCCCGGGAGCCAUCUCCAAUCCUUGACCACCAACCUCGUUGCUUUGGCGGGCCGCGGCCCUGCAGCCGCCGGCCCCGGCUGGCGCGCCCCCGCCAGAGGCUCUUAAAAUCUUACUUGCAAUGACUCUGAGCGAAAACAAAAUGCGAAAAACUUUCAGCAACGGAUCUCUUGGUUCUG